rnacentral:rRNA from 1 species
AGUGAACGCUGGCGGUAGGCCUAACACAUGCAAGUCGAACGGCAGCACAGUAAGAGCUUGCUCUUACGGGUGGCGAGUGGCGGACGGGUGAGGAAUACAUCGGAAUCUACUUUUUCGUGGGGGAUAACGUAGGGAAACUUACGCUAAUACCGCAUACGACCUACGGGUGAAAGCAGGGGAUCUUCGGACCUUGCGCGUUUGAAUGAGCCGAUGUCGGAUUAGCUAGUUGGCGGGGUAAAGGACCACCAAGGCGACGAUCCGUAGCUGGUCUGAGAGGAUGAUCAGCCACACUGGAACUGAGACACGGUCCAGACUCCUACGGGAGGCAGCAGUGGGGAAUAUUGGACAAUGGGCGCAAGCCUGAUCCAGCCAUACCGCGUGGGUGAAGAAGGCCUUCGGGUUGUAAAGCCCUUUUGUUGGGAAAGAAAAGCAGCAGGUUAAUACCCCGCUGUUCUGACGGUACCCAAAGAAUAAGCACCGGCUAACUUCGUG